rnacentral:rRNA from 1 species
CAGGCUUAACACAUGCAAGUCGAGGGGCAGCAUGGUCUUAGCUUGCUAAGGCCGAUGGCGACCGGCGCACGGGUGAGUAACACGUAUCCAACCUGCCGUCUACUCUUGGACAGCCUUCUGAAAGGAAGAUUAAUACAAGAUGGCAUCAUGAGUCCGCAUGUUCACAUGAUUAAAGGUAUUCCGGUAGACGAUGGGGAUGCGUUCCAUUAGAUAGUAGGCGGGGUAACGGCCCACCUAGUCUUCGAUGGAUAGGGGUUCUGAGAGGAAGGUCCCCCACAUUGGAACUGAGACACGGUCCAAACUCCUACGGGAGGCAGCAGUGAGGAAUAUUGGUCAAUGGGCGAGAGCCUGAACCAGCCAAGUAGCGUGAAGGAUGACUGCCCUAUGGGUUGUAAACUUCUUUUAUAAAGGAAUAAAGUCGGGUAUGGAUACCCGUUUGCAUGUACUUUAUGAAUAAGGAUCGGCUAACUCCGUGCCAGCAGCCGCGGUAAUACGGAGGAUCCGAGCGUUAUCCGGAUUUAUUGGGUUUAAAGGGAGCGUAGAUGGAUGUUUAAGUCAGUUGUGAAAGUUUGCGGCUCAACCGUAAAAUUGCAGUUGAUACUGGAUAUCUUGAGUGCAGUUGAGGCAGGCGGAAUUCGUGGUGUAGCGGUGAAAUGCUUAGAUAUCACGAAGAACUCCGAUUGCGAAGGCAGCCUGCUAAGCUGCAACUGACAUUGAGGCUCGAAAGUGUGGGUAUCAAACAGGAUUAGGUACCCUGGUAGUCCACACGGUAAACGAUGAAUACUCGCUGUUUGCGAUAUACUGCAAGCGGCCAAGCGAAAGCGUUAAGUAUUCCACCUGGGGAGUACGCCGGCAACGGUGAAACUCAAAGGAAUUGACGGGGGCCCGCACAAGCGGAGGAACAUGUGGUUUAAUUCGAUGAUACGCGAGGAACCUUACCCGGGCUUAAAUUGCAGAUGAAUUACGGUGAAAGCCGUAAGCCGCAAGGCAUCUGUGAAGGUGCUGCAUGGUUGUCGUCAGCUCGUGCCGUGAGGUGUCGGCUUAAGUGCCAUAACGAGCGCAACCCUUGUUGUCAGUUACUAACAGGUUCCGCUGAGGACUCUGACAAGACUGCCAUCGUAAGAUGUGAGGAAGGUGGGGAUGACGUCAAAUCAGCACGGCCCUUACGUCCGGGGCUACACACGUGUUACAAUGGGGGGUACAGAGGGCCGCUACCACGCGAGUGGAUGCCAAUCCCCAAAACCUCUCUCAGUUCGGACUGGAGUCUGCAACCCGACUCCACGAAGCUGGAUUCGCUAGUAAUCGCGCAUCAGCCACGGCGCGGUGAAUACGUUCCCGGGCCUUGUACACACCGCCCGUCAAGCCAUGGGAGCCGGGGGUACCUGAAGUGCGUAACCGCGAGGAGCGCCCUAGGGUAAAACUGGUGACUGGGGCUAAGUCAUAAC